CCUACGGGCGGCAGCAGUGGGGGAUAUUGCACAAUGGGCGAAAGCCUGAUGCAGCGACGCCGCGUGAGGGAAGACGGUCUUCGGAUUGUUAACCUCCGUCUUUGGGGAAGUAAAUGACGGUACCCAAAGAGGAAGCUCCGGCUAACUACGUGCCAGCAGCCGCGGUUAUACGUAGGGAGCCAGCGUUGUCCGGAAUUACUGGGUGUAAAGGGGGCGUAGGCGGGUUGGCAAGUAGAAUGUUAAAUCCAUCGGCUCAACCGGUGGCUGCGUUCGAAACUGCCGGUCUUGAGUGAAUUAGAGGUAGGCGGAAUGCGUGGUGUAGCGGUGAAAUGCGUAGAUAUUAGGAGGAACACCAGUGGCGAAGGCGGCCUGCUGGGCUUUAACUGACGCUGAGGCUCGAAAGCGUGGGGAGCAAACAGGAUUAGAUACCCCAGUAGUC
rnacentral:rRNA from 1 species